AUGGCCAUACCAUGCUGAAUAUACCAGAUCCCGUUAAAUCACCGAAGUCAAGCAUCAUUGGGCGCGGUCAGUACUUGGGUGGGUGACCACCGGGGAACACCGCGUGCCGUU
rnacentral:rRNA from 1 species